AAAAGAGAGUUAAAAAGUGCGUGAAACCGUUAGAGGGGAAACGGAUGCAGUUAGCAAUGCCUCAGCGAGAUUCAGGUGGACGCCUGGUCAGACGUGUAGUGUAUGGAUCCGCAUGGACUGUCGCUGCUCGGCCUGACCUUGUGAUCAUCGCACUUCUCGUUGGGGCGCGUCAACAGCUGCUCUGUCUGAGUGACAAGGCGUCCAGGAAGGUAGGCGCGUGCUUCGGCAUGUGCUGUUAUAGCCUGUGGCGAUACUAGCUCGGACGGGGCAGAGGCGAGCGGUGCAUGCUCUUCUUCGGAGGGGCUGGCGACCUUCUCUUGAUCUUGUGUCGACCAUGGCGGACUGCUUGCAGUGCGUCUGAACUGCUCGAGGUCAUUCGGGAGGCCAACGCACACUAUGCACCUCGGUUGUUGGCGGCCAUAUGGCUUCAUCUGACCCGUCUUGAAACACGGACCAAGGAGUCUAACAUGUGCGCAAGUCUUGGGGUGACUGAAACCCGAAGGCACAAUGAAAGUAAAGGCUGCCUAGCAGCUGAGGUGAGAUCUUCGUUCUACGCGUGCGAGGCGCAUCAUCGACCGACCUAUUCUACUCUAAAAGUUGAUAAACGCAUCUUUGGACC
rnacentral:rRNA from 1 species